GGCGAGCUCGGGCGCGGUGACGACGACCUCCCCACGGCGAUGACGACCUCGGCGACGACGACGGCGGCGGGCGGUGGCGGCGAGGUCGGGCGCGGCGGAUCCGGCGCGGUGGCGAGUGGCGGCGGCGAGCUCGGUUGCCAUGCACGGCAGGAUGCGGGUUCCGCCGCCGUCUCCGCUCUGGUGCUCUCAGCCAGCCCAGCGACCAGCCUCCCGCUCCCACUCCGGUGCUCCUGGCUGGCCUCCCGCUCCCGCUCCAGCGCUCGUCACCUCGGUUGCUCGUCCCUAGCCCUGCAGCCUUCGCUUCGAUUCCAGCGGAACGCAAUGGCCUUCCCCUGCAGGUAAGUUGGUGAACAGGCGAUGAUUGGAAGUUGCCAUCUGUUGUUGCCUUGACUAGAAUGAUUUUGAUGGAUGUAUGUUUGGUAUUACUGAUUAGUGACCUGGUGAUCUGUUGGACUUGUAGGACUUUGGUGGACGUAUUUUGUUGUGAUUCA